rnacentral:rRNA from 1 species
UACGAAGGGGGCUAGCGUUUGUUCGGAAUUACUGGGCGUAAAGCGCACGUAGGCGGAUCGAUCAGUCAGGGGUGAAAUCCCAGGGCUCAACCCUGGAACUGCCUUUGAUACUGUCGAUCUGGAGUAUGGGAAGAGGUGAGUGGAAUUCCGAGUGUAGAGGUGAAAUUCGUAGAUAUUCGGAGGAACACCAGUGGCGAAGGCGGCUCACUGGCCCGAUACUGACGCUGAGGUGCGAAAGCGUGGGGAGCAAACAGGG